rnacentral:rRNA from 1 species
UACGGGGGGGGCAAGCGUUGUUCGGAAUUACUGGGCGUAAAGGGCUCGUAGGCGGCCAACUAAGUCAGACGUGAAAUCCCUCGGCUUAACCGGGGAACUACGUCUGAUACUGGAUGGCUUGAGAUUGGGAGAGGGAUGCGGAAUUCCAGGUGUAGCGGUGAAAUGCGUAGAUAUCUGGAGGAACACCGGUGGCGAAGGCGACAUCCUGGACCAACACUGACGCUGAGGAGCGAAAGCCAGGGGAGCAAACGGG